rnacentral:tRNA from 1 species
GCGAAGGUGGCGGAAUUGGUAGACGCGCUAGCUUCAGGUGUUAGUGUCCUUACGGACGUGGGGGUUCAAGUC